rnacentral:rRNA from 1 species
GAUGAACGCUGGCGGCGUGCUUAACACAUGCAAGUCGAACGGGAAACCUUUUAUUGAAGCUUCGGCAGAUUUAGCUGGUUUCUAGUGGCGGACGGGUGAGUAACGCGUGGGUAACCUGCCUUAUACAGGGGGAUAACAGUCAGAAAUGGCUGCUAAUACCGCAUAAGCGCACAGAGCUGCAUGGCCCAGUGUGAAAAACUCCGGUGGUAUAAGAUGGACCCGCGUUGGAUUAGCUGGUUGGUGGGGUAACGGCCCACCAAGGCGACGAUCCAUAGCCGGCCUGAGAGGGUGAACGGCCACAUUGGGACUGAGACACGGCCCAGACUCCUACGGGAGGCAGCAGUGGGGAAUAUUGCACAAUGGGGGAAACCCUGAUGCAGCGACGCCGCGUGAAGGAAGAAGUAUCUCGGUAUGUAAACUUCUAUCAGCAGGGAAGAUAAUGACGGUACCUGACUAAGAAGCCCCGGCUAACUACGUG